CAGCCGCCGCGGGAAAACAGAGGGUGCGAGCGUUAAUCGGAUUUACUGGGCGUAAAGCGUGCGUAGGCGGCUUCUUAAGUCGGAUGUGAAAUCCCUGAGCUUAACUUAGGAAUUGCAUUCGAUACUGGGAAGCUAGAGUAUGGGAGAGGAUGGUAGAAUUCCAGGUGUAGCGGUGAAAUGCGUAGAGAUCUGGAGGAAUACCGAUGGCGAAGGCAGCCAUCUGGCCUAAUACUGACGCUGAGGUACGAAAGCAUGGGGAGCAAACAGGAUUAGAUACCCGCGUAGUCCCUGUCUCUUAUAC
rnacentral:rRNA from 1 species